AUCUAUCAGAGCAUGACCCACUAGGGAGACUACACUAGACUCCAAGCAUUAGCUUCUACUCAACUCAUUGCUCGUUACCUGAAAAAUAGUUGUAAGGGUGAGUUCCUCAAUCGAUAUAAUAAGCAUUAUAGAAUCUCAUGUCAUGUUAAGUAAUUUGACACAUUAAUCACCCUAAUCACAACAUACAAUCAGUAACAGCACAUC
rnacentral:lncRNA from 1 species